AACGCUGGCGGCGUGCCUAAUACAUGCAAGUCGAACGGCCUUUUCUAUGGAAGCUUGCUUCCACUGAGAAGAUAGUGGCGAACGGGUGAGUAACACGUGGGUAACCUGCCCAUAAGAGGGGGGAUAACAUCCGGAAACGGGUGCUAAUACCGCAUAGUUUUCUUGAUCGCAUGAUCGGGAAAGGAAAGACGGCCUUUGUGCUGUCGCUUAUGGAUGGACCCGCGGCGUAUUAGUUAGUUGGUGGGGUAACGGCUCACCAAGACGAUGAUACGUAGCCGACCUGAGAGGGUGAUCGGCCACAUUGGGACUGAGACACGGCCCAAACUCCUACGGGAGGCAGCAGUAGGGAAUCUUCUGCAAUGGACGAAAGUCUGACGGAGCAACGCCGCGUGAGUGAAAGAAGGUUUUCGGAUCGUAAAACUCUGUUGUCAGAGAAGAACAAGUUGGAGAGUAACUGCUCCAGCCUUGACGGUAUCUGACCAGAAAGCCACGGCUAACUACGUGCCAGCCGCCGC
rnacentral:rRNA from 1 species